UGGGGAAUUUUGGACAAUGGGCGAAAGCCUGAUCCAGCAAUGCCGCGUGUGUGAAGAAGGCCUUCGGGUUGUAAAGCACUUUUGUCCGGAAAGAAAAUCCUUGGCUCUAAUACAGUCGGGGGAUGACGGUACCGGAAGAAUAAGCACCGGCUAACUACGUGCCAGCAGCCGCGGUAAUACGUAGGGUGCAAGCGUUAAUCGGAAUUACUGGGCGUAAAGCGUGCGCAGGCGGUUUGCUAAGACCGAUGUGAAAUCCCCGGGCUCAACCUGGGAACUGCAUUGGUGACUGGCAGGCUAGAGUAUGGCAGAGGGGGGUAGAAUUCCACGUNUAGCAGUGAAAAUGCGUAGAGAUGUGGAGGAAUACCGAUGGCGAAGGCAGCCCCCUGGGCCAAUACUGACGCUCAUGCACGAAAAGCGUGGGGGAGCAAAACAGGAUUAGAUACCCUGGUAGUCCACGCCCUAAAACGAUGUCAACUAGUUGUUGGGGAUUCAUUUCCUUAGUAACGUAGCUAACGCGUGAAGUUGACCGCCUGGGGAGUACGGUCGCAAGAUUAAAAACUCAAAUGAAUUGAC
rnacentral:rRNA from 1 species